CAAGGAUUCCCAAAGUAAGGGCGACUGAAAAGGGAAGAGCUCACAAUGUGAAUCUGUGUGUCAUGCACUGAAUUGUAGUCUGUAGAUUUUGCCAUUAUGGGAGCAGGCUGAGUCCCUUGGAACAGGGCAGCUUAGAGGGUGACACUCCUGUGCGCCUGAACUGGCACGGCAAAAAUCGAUGAGUCGAGUUGUUUGGGAUUGCAGCUCCAAGACGAUGGUAAAUUCCAUCGAAAGCUAAAUACGGGUGGGAGACCGAUAGCGCACAAGUACCGUGAGGGAAAGAUGCAAAGAACUUUGAAAAGAGAGUUAAAGAGUACCUGAAAUUGUUGAAAGGGAAGCGAAGGAAACCAGUGUUGGCUUGAGCAUACUUCCCAGCUUGCUUGCAGGUUGGGCGUUGUGCUUUUGCUAUUGCCAGUGUUUGUUGCUUUCACCAUAAUCAAGCUCCUCUGGAUGCAUUGGUGUGAUGGAGAUGGUGGCAACGAAAGGCUGUCAAAAUGGUUUUCUUUUCCCCGUCUUGAAACACGGACCAAGGAGUUUAACAUGUGUGCGAGUGCAGAGGUUAGAAACCUCACCGCGAAAUGAAAGUGACAGUGGUUGGAGCUUUGUGGCACAAUCCGCCGGCCUCAAUCCUUUGGGAGAAUGGUCUGAGUGUGAGCAUGCAUGUUUGGACCCGAAAGAUGGUGAACUAUGCCUGAAUAGGGUGAAGCCAGGGGAAACUCUGGUGGAAGCUCGCAGCGAUUCUGACGUGCAAAUCGAUCGUCAAAUUUGGGCAUAGGGGCGAAAGACUAAUCGAACCAU
rnacentral:rRNA from 1 species